CCUACGGGAGGCAGCAGUGAGGAAUAUUGGUCAAUGGGCGCGAGCCUGAACCAGCCAAGUAGCGUGAAGGAUGACUGCCCUACGGGUCGUAAACUUCUUUUAUCAAGGAAUAAAGUGAGGCACGUGUGCCUUUUUGUAUGUACUUUAUGAAUAAGGAUCGGCUAACUCCGUGCCAGCAGCCGCGGUAAUACGGAGGAUCCGAGCGUUAUCCGGAUUUAUUGGGUUUAAAGGGAGCGGAGAUGGGUUGUUAAGUCAGUUGUGAAAGUUUGCGGCUCAACCGUAAAAUUGCAAUUGAUACUGGCAGUCUUGAGUACAGUUGAGGUAGGCGGAAUGCGUGGUGUAGCGGUGAAAUGCUUAGAUAUCACGAAGAACUCCGAUUGCGAAGGCAGCUUACUAAACUGCCACUGACAUUGAUGCUCGAAAGUGUGGGUAUCAAACAGGAUUAGAUACCCCGGUAGUC
rnacentral:rRNA from 1 species